UUCACUUUAUAUUCAAGCUCUGCUGGGAAUCCACCAUUGACCCGUGUUAAAUACCGUGAAAUCUGCUCCUCUCUACUUCUUGGGGAGGGUGAGACCUUGUCAAGCCAUACAAACAUGCUUCAAUUUGCUUGCUUCCUUUUGAGUUGCACUAGAGAUGGGCUUUGCAGAACUCCAUAUAGCAAUUGUCCUGUGACAUCAACAAACCUACCUUUCUGUUAAUGUUUUUUUCCGCCGUUAAAGACUUGUAAUUGGCAAGCACAAAAAAGGUCCAAUGGUGGCUGUUCCUCCAGUACACACAAAUUGACCCCAGUAGUCAUAGGCAAGCAUGAUCAUCAGAGUCUGAGGCCAAUAAGCACUUGUGGGAGGAGAUAAAAGAAAUUUCCAGUUCCUCCAGAUUCCUACUUUCUUCUUCUCUCCGAGCUGCUUCAGAAAUGUCAGUAUGAGAUGGGGAAGUCUUUGGGAAUGGCUCCAGUAUGACACCAAUAAUCCUCUUAAUUAUAGACUCAAAACUAAUUGGACUUCCAAACCAGUCGUGUUAUCACAAUUAUAAUAG
rnacentral:misc_RNA from 1 species